rnacentral:rRNA from 1 species
AUUGAACGCUGGCGGCAGGCUUAACACAUGCAAGUCGAGCGGAGAUGAGGUGCUUGCACCUUAUCUUAGCGGCGGACGGGUGAGUAAUGCUUAGGAAUCUGCCUAUUAGUGGGGGACAACAUCCCGAAAGGAAUGCUAAUACCGCAUACGUCCUACGGGAGAAAGCAGGGGAUCUUCGGACCUUGCGCUAAUAGAUGAGCCUAAGUCGGAUUAGCUAGUUGGGGGGGUAAAGGCCUACCAAGGCGACGAUCUGUAGCGGGUCUGAGAGGAUGAUCCGCCACACUGGGACUGAGACACGGCCCAGACUCCUACGGGAGGCAGCAGUGGGGAAUAUUGGACAAUGGGGGGAACCCUGAUCCAGCCAUGCCGCGUGUGUGAAGAAGGCCUUAUGGUUGUAAAGCACUUUAAGCGAGGAGGAGGCUACUGAGACUAAUACUCUUGGAUAGUGGACGUUACUCGCAGAAUAAGCACCGGCUAACUCUGUGCCAGCCGCCGCAGUAA